rnacentral:rRNA from 1 species
UGCCUACGGGGCGCAGCAGUGAGGAAUAUUGGUCAAUGGCCGGAAGGCUGAACCAGCCAAGCCGCGUGAAGGACGAAGGUGCCAAGCAUUGUAAACUUCUUUUGUCAAGGGACAAAAUCAGGCUCGAGAGCCUGACCGAGGGUACUUGAAGAAAAAGCAUCGGCUAACUACGUGCCAGCAGCCGCGGUAAUACGUAGGGGGCAAGCGUUAUCCGGAUUUACUGGGUGUAAAGGGAGCGUAGGUGGCAUGGUAAGCCAGAAGUGAAAACCCAGGGCUCAACUCUGUGGAUUGCUUUUGGAACUAUC